CUAACAUGCCACAUGUCCUUUUCUUUUAUUUUAUUUUUAAAAUUUUGGCCUUUCAAUUUCAGUGUAGCGUCUUUAAAAAAUAAAUAAAUAAAUAUAUAAUCUAAGUGAAGCGUUACAAUUAUUUUUUUUCCCUUUCAGGGGUUACAAGUAUUUCUUUUCCUCUAUUGUUCUUCAUUUGUUUCUUAAAUACGGAGUACUCAGUUCAUCAUUCCAUCUCCUAUAUCUCUAAAAGCCUUCCAUAAUCAUUUUCGCAUUUGCUCUGCAUAUAAGAAUCAAGGGAAAGGCAUGCAACAACUCCAAUUGACAUUAUAGCACACAAAUCUGUUAACCAAUAUGAAUUACAUUAGCCUUCUAUUACUUCAAUUUAGAGUUGUAAUAUUAAUUUGUCUUCCUAGAUAUUAUCAGUCAUACUCUAUUAUUUAAGUUGUCUGCACUAAAUCUAAAUACUCUUCCAAAAAAAAAAAUUAAAUAAAUAAAAAAAUAAAAAAUAAAAAAUAAAAUCUAAAUACUCUAGCCAAGUACUAUUUUAUUGUAUGAAUGGAAAUAGCCAAAUAGGGAAUAUUUAUUUAACUCUGCCAAUUUGUCAUUGUAUAUCUAUCAUUAGUAAUGCAUAAAUAUUAUGAUCAAAAUGAUCACCAA